GCGCCGUUGGUGGAACUUGGUAGACACGUGCGCCUCAGAAGCGCAUCCGCAAGGGUGGGGGUUCAAGUCCCCCAUGGCGCACCA
rnacentral:tRNA from 1 species